rnacentral:lncRNA from 1 species
AAUCCCAUAUUUACUUCGAUAUAUUUUUAUUUUUCGUCAGUUAAAUAGCAAUAUUUUUGAAGCAACAGUAGAAAUAAGUCUUGUUCGUCUUGCCAUCUGAGAUGCACCAAACAGCGAAGUCCAGGGGAUUCACGUAGAGUGAGGAAGUCUGCCGUCCACCAUCAAUCAUUAGUCAUCUCUAGUAUUGAAUACUCAGGCCUCUCUUCACACCCAUACACUCAAAAUACUAACUAGUUUUUGAUCAUAUGACGUCACUAAGUAUCCCUCUUCAAAGUGGGGAUGAAAUGUCCGGGAAUGAAUUUACUAGGAAAGAAAAGACAAGGAGUGAAAUUACUGGGAAAUAAUUAGAGGGAAUGAAAUUACGGAGAAGGAAAUUACUGUCACGUCACACAACACAACACAACACUACUCAAGUAGGAGUGAAGAAAAUAAAAUAGAUAAAUAUGAACAUAGGACUGAAUAAUAGGUUCUUAUAAACAUUGAUUGGUAAAAAGAUGGGACCGAUAAAAAAAAAGAAUCAUGUCCUAGGACUAGUGUUGGAUCGGUCAAAAAAAAAUCCAGUCCGAUCAGUUCAUUCCUAAUAAAAUUUGUCAGACCUAGGACCUGUCCUUAACGGUUUUUUGUAGAAACUAUAUCAGCUGGAAUCACGUUGUUAGUUCUAACUACCCCAUUUGAGUCACUGAAGUUACAUCAUAAUUUAUAAACUCUUCCAAAGAGACAAUAUACUUGUAGGAGAUGUGUGACUAGAACAUAUUACCAUACGUUCUAAAUAUCAUUAAUUAUUUUCGAUCCUUCGGACAGUUUACUGAAAUGAGUAAUGAAAAAAGACUGAUAAGGCGAUCAAUCAUAGGACUGAUCAACACUAACUAGAACCGAUCCGAUACAACCAAUCUCCGAAGGAAGGUGCAUUAAAACCGUUGUUCAAGUCAUAAUUUAGUCGCAUUAAAAAAUAUUAUUUUAUAUGUCAUUUAUUUUGUCUAUGUAUUUACUCAUAUACAGAGACAAAAUGAUUUAUGACUUUCUAUAAGCUCAUUUAUUAGCAACAGGGAGUGUUGUAAAAAAAUGACAAAUUAUGAAAUGCAUUUAAUAUUAUUUAUCUAAAACCAUUCACAUUUUAUUCGAUUAAACCAAAGAACAAUAUAAUUAGCAGCUUUUAUGGGGCUAUGUAUUUAUGCACAUAAAUGUUGGUGCAACUAACAUGAAACGAAUAAAACUUUCUGCUUAAGGUAAAAUUGCAAAAAUAAAAGGUUUUGUGAAGAUAAUUAACAACCAUAUAAAUAAUCAAAUAGAGAAAAAAAAAUAUCCUCUAGUUCUUAGAAAGUACAGUGAUUUUUUCUCCCUAAAUGUUCUACAAGAGUAAAACAAUUGCCCUAAUUACUGUAUGUGUUGUAUGUUCACAAAUUAAAAUAAAUACUAAUGCGUUUUUAAUAAUAUAUGUU